UACGCCAUUUUAUAUCUGCUAAUGCUUUCGCGGGUCUGUGUGUGCUGAUUGCGAAAAGUCCAGUCAAUAAUUUAAAUCAUGGGCAGGAAAAAGAAGAAGCAGAUGAAGCCCUGGUGUUGGUAUUGUAACAGAGAUUUUGACGAUGAAAAGAUUCUUAUUCAACACCAGAAGGCCAAACACUUUAAAUGCCACAUAUGUCACAAAAAAUUAUACACUGGUCCUGGUCUGGCCAUCCACUGUAUGCAGGUUCACAAAGAAACCAUCGACAGUGUCCCCAAUGCCAUACCUGGAAGAACUGACAUAGAAUUAGAGAUUUAUGGAAUGGAGGGUAUUCCAGAAAAAGACAUGGAGGAGAGGAGGCGUGUGCUUGAACAGAAAACACAGGAAAAUCAGAAGAGAAAGCAGAAUCAGGAUGACUCUGAUGAAGAUGAUGAUGAUGAUGAAGCUGGACCCUCCUUCCAACAGCCAGCAGCAUCAGCGCAGCCUCAGGCUGCCUACACCCCGAUGACCCAGCCAGGAAUGGCCCCUGUCCCAGCACCAGGGAUGCCACCUAGAGGCUACUCAGGUGUGCUGUGUAACAGAAUGCCGCCAAUGAUGCCUGGUGUUCCUCCAAUGAUGCCAGGCAUGCCCCCUGUAAUGCCAGGGAUGCAUCCAGGCAUGAUGCCAAUGGGUGGGAUGAUGCCACAUGGGCAUGGAAUGCCCCCAAUGAUGCCAGGCAUGCCACCAGGAAUACCUCCUCCAAUGGGCCCUCACCCAGGCAUGCCCCACAUGGCCCAGGCCCCUCCCACCACCAUCAGGCCGGCAGUGCCUGCCGUUACAGUUCCCACACCACAGCCAGGUGUCUCCAAACCACUGUUCCCCAGUGCAGGACAGAUGGGGACUCGAGCUCCAAGCACAAGCUCAGCCUCCUCCAGUCUGGACACUUUGUCAGCAUCCUCUAAACCGCUGUCCCAAGUCCAGCAGGCUGUCGCCGGUGCAGCGACAAGCUCGUCCGCCCCUCCUUCUGUUGCCCCCAAACCCACAUUCCCAGCCUACACCCAGCCCUCCUCCUCUCCUGCUAACAGCAGCAGCACUGUGGCCAAACCAGGCACCCCAGUCACAAGUAAGCCAGCCACCCUCACCACCACCAGUGCAACCAGUAAGUUGAUCCACCCUGAUGAAGAUAUAUCACUGGAGGAAUUGCGGGCACAUCUGCCUCGCUACCAAUGUAAAAUCCCAAAUGCAGGACAGGCCCACGUGUCGUCCCCACCGGUUGCAUCAAUGGGAAGCGUGUUGUCGCCUCAGCAGGGCAUUCCUGUGCAACAGUCGGGUGUUAGGCAUCCCAUGCAAGGGCCGUAUGGGGCUCCACCCCAGGGAGUGUCUGGUUUUGCCCCGGGAGGGAUGCCUCCCUACGGACAAGCCCCGCCCAUGGUCCCUCCUUACCAAGCCGCUCCCCCUCGGCCCGCCAUAGGCAUGAGACCUCCCGUAAUGUCUCCCGGGGGCCGAUAUUGAAGCGUCACCACUGGUCUUCAUUAGGUUUUUAGAAGUGAAGUGUAGUAAAUAUGGUUCGUAUUAAUUUGAAGCGGCUGGAGUUUCGUACAGCACCUUUAUCAAGCAAUGCCAUGGGAUUGACUGAGGCAGUCUCAGUGUUGCCCUGCACAGGCUGAGGCAAGUCUCAAAUUUUCCUCUUUAUUUUGUGUACUCGAGGGGCCUCACAGCCUUGUGGCUGUUGGAUACAGGUGUCCCCAAACUUGCAGCAAGUUUGGUGAUGGCCCCCAUUUUGUUUAACUCAGGGGGUUUCACUUAACUAACUGUCAUUAUUUAAUUUUUAACAAUUGAGACUUACACCAGACUUAGAUUUCAAAUAACAAUUCUGGCUUAUUUUCAACCUGCUAUUGCUUACCACAGUAAAAAAAGUUCAAACUAGUAAUAUUGUCAAUGCUGUAACAUUUCAAUGACACUGCUGUGGUACAAUUGCUUACUGAUCUGUGCAAAGAACCAUAAUGUCAUUUCCCCCCACAAAAAUAGGAUAGAUAUACAUUUUCAUUUAUUCACCAUAUCAUUCAAGACCUGUAUACAACUCCAACUUCUGUGGAACGCCAGAACGCCUGUUGUGUUUGUGUCCAGACAAUGGAUGUUAAUAGGGUCAAUCUUGUUAGGUUACCCACAUAUUUCAUCACAAAUAUUGGUUUGUGUAGAAGAAAGUCAUACAGGUUUGUAAUGACAUGAGGAUUAGUAAAUGAAGUUGCAUUUCUGGGAGAACUAUCCCUUUAACCUGAGUGUAUUUUCCACCCUAUUAAGUAGUUGCAAUUUAAGGCACACACCUUUCAUCUCUUUUUGGAUAAAGAAUUGCAGAAUUGCAUUGUUAUAUACCUAACACUGUUGUUUUUAACCCUACAGGCAGCUUGUCUGUAAGGCUUUGCUUGUUAGUGCAUUAUUGUUUAUAUCUUGUUCAUUUGUAUAAUUUAAAAGGUAAGUUGAAUCAUGGUAGUUGGUAGCACAUCUUACAUAUUGCCCUGAGGCAUGUGCAAGUUAAAAAUAACUAUAAUAAUUGUCUUAUACAGCUCUCCAGAUUUAUAAAAAAUGUGGCUGAACAAUAGUUCUAAAGAGUAAUGUUUGAUUUCAUUGUUUAAUAUGUUUACACAUUCUUGUUUGGGGUGGCAGCUCAGAAUAUCUUCUAAUGAUGUAUUCUGCAGAUGGAGGUGCAAGUUUAUUUGCAUUACUUAUGAUUAGGGAUGUGUGCUAUGACUAAUUUGACAGUCGUUUAAACGAAAGUUUUGUAACCCUGUAGUCGACUAGUUUGAAACCAAGAGUGGCCCAGAAGGCGGUCCACGAACUUUGCGUAGGGCCUAUGUAGUAUAUAUUUUUUAAAUGUAGACUAUUAAUCAAACUGUUCAUAUCCAAUAUUUAAUGUCGCUAAUGCAAGCAUGUGUUCCACUUUCAUUACGUUGUGAUCAUUAAUAUUUCUGCAUUUGCUGACGUGCCAACCCUGACUGGAUCAUUUUAGCGGCUGUAAGAAAUGACGCGAUGAGCAUUUGUUUGCUUUGGCUGGUCUGUGCCUGGGCUUAAAAUAUGUAGCCUAUACUAAAUUCAUUUUUUUUCUCCUUUAAGUCUGUUUUUUCGGACUCUAAAGGUUAAAUUACAUUUUAGAAAUCAAAUAAAAUUUUAGUAAAUUUGUGUCUAUUACACUGAAAUCAUGAAAUUUAAAAUAUUUAACAACAAUUCAUUAAAAGCUUAUUAACGAAUGUGUUAUUUGUUUAUUUAAAUGAUGUUGAAUGAAAAAACAUUACUUUUUUUAAUUAUGUCGCAAUUUAAGUAGCCUACAAGUUAUAAUUAGGGUAUAGGCCUAUAGCCUGUCAACAAACAAGAUGGCCUACAUUAUAUCAUGUUUUUAUUAUUUGUAAAGCAAAGCAAUGUGUGUAAACAAAAAAGCGAAUAGAAAGCAAUGGACAAAAAGUAUAUAAGCUACAGAACGCAUUUGAUCUCGCGCAGAGCGAAUGAAAAAGGCGCUAAUAAAGCAUACUACCCAUAUUAGCUAAUUUAUAGAAUAUACAUAGGCUAAACACUCGAGUCCGCAUGUGAUUAUGAUGUUAAUAUUAUUUUACAUGUUCAUGUUGAAGAAAUGCAAGCAUUAUGCUCGGAUGAAAGUCUGCUCAAUGUUUGUGAGCAAUAACUCCGUCUGAGUAAUCUGCGCAAACUCGGCAAGGGCACACAGUUAACAGUGCUAAGCGAUCAUGUUUAGGCUAUUCAAUGUUAUUGUCAAUGGGGUCAAUCUUGUUAGGUUACCCACAUAUUUCAUCACAAAUAUUUAUUGGUCUCUGUAGGAAAAAGUCAUACAGGUUUGUAAUGACUUGAGGAUUAGUAAAUGAAGUUUCAUUUUUGGGAGAAUCCCUUUAGUCUGUAAGGCUUUGCUUGUUAGUGCAUUGUUUAUAUCUUGUUCAUUUGUAUAAUUUAAAAGGUAAGUUGAAUCAUGGUAGUUGGUAGCACAUCUUACAUAUUGUCCUGAGGCAUGUGCAAGUUAAAAAUAACUAUAAUAAUUGUCUUAUACAGCUCUCUAGAUUUAUAAAAAAAAAAUGUGGCCGAACAAUAGUUCUAAAGAGUAUAUGUGUGAUUUAAUUGUUUAUAUAAAAUGUUUUCAAAUUCUUGUUUGGAGUGGCAGCUCAGAAUAUCUUCUAAUGAUGUAUUCUGCAGAUGGAGUAAUUUAUUAAGUAAUUGUUAACAUAACUGUAUGUAGCUUUAGAUCAUUAUCUAUUUUUCGUUUUAUGACUGCAUUCCGCGCUUCUGCCCGCAUUUUCCGCAUCGCGGCAAUAACCCAAUAAAGUAUGGUUACGCGUGGGUCCAGUGAAAUUAUUAUGCCCCUUUAUGACAAUUUGCGUAAACCUACCCUACAACUCGUCUUUCAAGUGGUCAUUUCUGAGCGUGCUGCAAUUGGCUAGGUCUGACAUAAAAUUAAAACAUUUCGUUCCUGAUACACUUUUAAAGACUAUUAAUAUAUUUUUUCAAACAUUGUUUUAGCAUGUAAUUUAAAAAGGGUUUUAAACGAAACAUUAAAAUGAAAGUCAUUUAAAUUAUGACAUUUGGUGUAAUUUUUUCGUGUAAUCGACUGUUGUUUUCAAUGUGGACUAGCUUACCGUUUAAACGACUAGUCAAUUAGUCUCGCACAUCCCUACUUAUGAUAGUGUAUAUGGUAGAUGUGCGUGAUCCCCAGUUUAUCUUUGAUGUCCAGACACAGAUGUGUCUAAUAUAAAUGUGGUUAGCUAAGCAUCCACUCAAGCAUAUAGGAUGUACUGUGAGCUAUUUCUUGCUCUUUUCAUCCAGUGUUUUUUGCCUAUAAGCGUUUAUUGUUCUGUUAUCCUUGGAUUUUAUCAAAAUGUCAGAAGCCUGUUUACGGGUUAGAUUUUAUGUUCUACAUUUUAUUGUGUUCAGGCAGCGUUCAUAAUCAUUUAAAGCAGUUGAGCACCUUUAUCAAGGAUCUGUAUCAAGUCACUGUAAAUAAACUACCGUGCUAAAAGUGUGAAGCCUUCGCACCUCCGGUUCCCAGCUGUUGGGUGUAUAUUUAUGUUUAUAUUUCUGCUUGUUCACAUUUACAGUCUUCUUUAUUUAUAGGGCAAGUAACACAAAAAAAUGUUAGUAUUAAAAAUUGCCUGUCAAUUUGUUGUUUUACAGUUUUUUUACUUACCACUAGAGUGCAGCACAGACAAAGUAAAAACAAGUUUUGACAAAAACAAAAGUGCAUUGUGGUUCUUUUGUAUAAUCAUAUAUUUUUCAUCUUGGUGCGUCAGACAAUCUGAAAUGAAUUCAUAACAAAAUAUCGAGUAUAAAUCUAUAAAAAUAAGAAAUGUUGGUCUUUCCAAUAAUGAGAAAAUAAUGUGUGGAUGGAAACGUUUCCAGGAAUAUGUACUUUAACUUGCAAUCAAAUUUUAUAUUGUACAUUCUAAAUGGCUGUCACAUUUACAUUGGUUCAUUUAGCAGACAAGACACUCAUCCAAAGUGAUUUAGACAGUGUUAAAUGCAUUGCACACUUAUUUUUUUUAAGGUGCCAACAAUAAGAGUACACUAACAAAUCAACUGAAAUUUUUCUUUUUAAUCUAAAGAUUUUAGGUGAAACCAAAUUGGUUUUACAAGUACCUUGUAUUGUUGGGUUAAAAUAAAAUAAAAAAAAUUAAGGGUAGUGUAUAAAGCUACACGUUUACAUAAAGAAUUGAAGCUAAGGAUGGAAGAGCAUAGUUGUUUAAAGUUGGAAACUUGACAGUUAGUGAGUGUGAAACAGGUGUGACUCCAGUUAUUUCUUAAAGGUUGUGGUGAGCUCUACAGAUUGAGUGGAGGCUGACUUCACCAGAGAGGUUAAACGUCUUUGAGUGAUUUGGUGCCUUGUGAUGGUACAACCAGGUGUCCCUCACUUACUGAGCGGAAAUGGUGGGAGAGAUGUACAUUACAUCUGUAGGAGAAAGACUAGUUGGAAGUGGACUUCGAUUCCAUCACUAAAUAAACACGACUAUUGUGUGUGUGUGAUGAAUUUCCUGUGUUUGUAGGUGGAGCUCUCUGCUCAUGUAUACUAGGGGAAGCAGACUGAACAUCUGUGUACUAAAAGCGAAAUAUUAAACUUGUUUAAACACACCAUGAGAGCCUGCUUGUUUUUUGGAGUUCUAUUGAAGCAGAUUUUGGGUAAGUUAACUUUAAACGUGUCUUGAUACAUACCUUAAUGUUUAGCAUCUGGUUUUAAUUUUAAACGUUAAUUCAGUAAAGACUGCAAUAAUAAUCCUUUAGAAUGUGAUAUGCAAUCUUAAAGCAAAAUAGUUUUUCAUCUGAUUUGUACAUGGGUGCAAUAACGGAUGUUUUUAUAAGCAUUGUGAUGCCACAGAACUGGUUUCCUUAUGAAACACUAAACUUUUUUUCAGUACUCGCCAAAGUUGUUUUUUUGUGUUGCAUCUACAUUUUUUGUUUGCUCAGUUUGAUGUGUAAAUUUUACAAAGGCCUGUUGAAAAGACUGUUGUCAGAAGUGAUUUAUUUGGAAAACCUCAAUUGAGCCCAUUGAAAUUUUUAUGUUAACAGUAACUAGGAAAGCCUUUUUACAGUGUAUAUACAACAAUUCAAACCGAUCAAUAUAGAGCUUGAUAUAAACAUGUUGCUUAUGAUACAUACAAUAUACACAAUUACAACUGUCCUUCAUUGUUUAAAUUUCUUAAGACCUUUCUGCAUCUCAAGAUUUUCAAUACAUUGAAAGGCUUGAGGGGGAAUCGGUGGAUAUUGUUUGUACAGCACAACCAAGAAACUCAAGACCAUCACUUCUGUACCUACGAAGCUUUGCUUAUUCAGAAGUUUUGAACAUCUCUGAAAAUAUAGACAAGAAGCCAGAGAUUGAUGGACACAUCAAGAUCUCUGCAUACCUGAACUCGGGCACUGUUGUUGUGACUCUGUCUAAUUUGAAAUACAAAGAUACAGGCCUUUACGUCUGUGAAUUCCUCUCAGAAAAUCAACAUGAGCAGACCUUGGCUAACAUGAACAUCCUUCUACUUGUGAAAGCAGCAGGUUAGUGAUGUGUUGAUGCUUUAGUAACACGAGUUUUGACCAAUGACAUGAUUUAACUAAUGACAUGUUGCAUUGAGCAAGCAAUAGUGUAUUAAAGUUGUGUUAUGUACCAUGAUGAUUGAAUUCCCCUUUAUGCAUAGAAUAGAUUACAUCUAAACAAGUGUUUAUUGCACAAGAAAUAAACAUAAAAUGCCAGAAACUGGUAAACCAGUGGUUCUUUUCAAGUUAGUUAGUUUCUUUAUAUAGCACAAUACAUCAACGGUCGUUGAACCAUUGUGCUUUACAAAAGUUUUUCAAAUAUAAAUAGUAAAACCAAAACAGAAUGACAUGCAACAAGAAAAGAAACGUAUACAAAUACAGCACACUCCGGAUGACGCACAUGCUAUAGGCUUUUUCUAAAAGGUGAGUUUUAAGUUUUAUUUUAAACCGAGAUUCUGUAGUAAUCAAACUAAUGGAUAAAGGGAGGCCAUUCCAGAGUUUGGGGCCGAGUAUAGCAAAAGCCCGGUCACACUUUCUUUUUAGCACUUGAUCUGGGAACCUUUAACAGUCUCUGAUUUGAUGACCUUAAACAUCUAGCCGCUAUGUUAACAUUCACAAGUUCAAAUAGGAAGGACCAGUGGUUCUUUUCAAGUGAUAUAGGUACAAAGAAAUGCAUUUCUGUACCUGUUUAACAACACAUUCAUUCAGUUUUUGUGGUUGUUGUUAAUAUCAUUGGUCCGAAUAUUAAGAAAGCAACAACUUGUCCCAGUCACACAUAUAACAAAAGCACAGGAAAGAAAUUAGCAUUUGUACCAAGACUAUUGCGGUGUUUCUAACAUCUCUGAUUCGGUGAAAAAUUGUCAUAAAUGAAACUGCUUUUUUGUAAAGAAAAAAGUCUGAUUCCUUCACUACAUCUGUUCAGGUGAGCUACGCUCUUGUGACAGACAUUCUUGGGUGAUCUACAUCAUGUCAAUUAUGACCUUGCUUCUGCUCUCAGUCAUCGCAUUCUCUGUGGCACAUUACAAAAAUCUGCAUAAGCGACAAGAGUCUCAGCGCUCAAUUCCAAUUUACGAAGACAUGGCAAGAAAUAGUAACACAGCAAACUUCCAUCAGGUCCCUGAAACAGCUGUUCCAGACUGGACCAACAAUAGGCAGAAUAUGCUGGAGAAUCACUAUUCCUCCCCUUAGAGAAAAGAAUGAACCCUAAAAUACUGAUAUUAAUUUGAUUGUAAUUGUGGUGCUCCUAAUUAUUGUAUCUACACACUGUGUUAUGAAGAUGGAGGUACAGCAUAAUACACACUGUAAAAAAUGAUUCUGUGUCAUAGUAAAUUUCAUGAAAUUAAUUGAGUAAACUUUACUUAAUGCAAAUGUGUUCUUGUUUUUAAUAA